rnacentral:rRNA from 1 species
GCGUUCUGUAAGCCUGCGAAGGUGGCCUGUGAGGGUUGCUGGAGGUAUCAGAAGUGCGAAUGCUGACAUAAGUAACGAUAAAGCGGGUGAAAAGCCCGCUCGCCGGAAGACCAAGGGUUCCUGUCCAACGUUAAUCGGGGCAGGGUGAGUCGACCCCUAAGGCGAGGCCGAAAGGCGUAGUCGAUGGGAAACGGGUUAAUAUUCCCGUACUUGGUGUUACUGCGAAGGGGGGACGGAGAAGGCUAUGUUGGCCGGGCGACGGUUGUCCCGGUUUAAGCGUGUAGGUGUGUGUUCCAGGUAAAUCCGGUUCACUUUAACACUGAGGCGUGACGACGAGGCACUACGGUGCUGAAGCAACAAAUGCCCUGCUUCCAGGAAAAGCCUCUAAGCAUCAGGUAACAUCAAAUCGUACCCCAAACCGACACAGGUGGUCAGGUAGAGAAUACCAAGGCGCUUGAGAGAACUCGGGUGAAGGAACUAGGCAAAAUGGUGCCGUAACUUCGGGAGAAGGCACGCUGACACGUAGGUGAAGUGAUUUACUCACGGAGCUGAAGUCAGUCGAAGAUACCAGCUGGCUGCAACUGUUUAUUAAAAACACAGCACUGUGCAAACACGAAAGUGGACGUAUACGGUGUGACGCCUGCCCGGUGCCGGAAGGUUAAUUGAUGGGGUCAGCGCAAGCGAAGCUCCUGAUCGAAGCCCCGGUAAACGGCGGCCGUAACUAUAACGGUCCUAAGGUAGCGAAAUUCCUUGUCGGGUAAGUUCCGACCUGCACGAAUGGCGUAAUGAUGGCCAGGCUGUCUCCACCCGAGACUCAGUGAAAUUGAACUCGCUGUGAAGAUGCAGUGUACCCGCGGCAAGACGGAAAGACCCCGUGAACCUUUACUAUAGCUUGACACUGAACAUUGAGCCUUGAUGUGUAGGAUAGGUGGGAGGCUUUGAAGCGUGGACGCCAGUCUGCGUGGAGCCGACCUUGAAAUACCACCCUUUAAUGUUUGAUGUUCUAACGUGGACCCGUGAUCCGGGUUGCGGACAGUGUCUGGUGGGUAGUUUGACUGGGGCGGUCUCCUCCUAAAGAGUAACGGAGGAGCACGAAGGUUGGCUAAUCCUGGUCGGACAUCAGGAGGUUAGUGCAAUGGCAUAAGCCAGCUUGACUGCGAGCGUGACGGCGCGAGCAGGUGCGAAAGCAGGUCAUAGUGAUCCGGUGGUUCUGAAUGGAAGGGCCAUCGCUCAACGGAUAAAAGGUACUCCGGGGAUAACAGGCUGAUACCGCCCAAGAGUUCAUAUCGACGGCGGUGUUUGGCACCUCGAUGUCGGCUCAUCACAUCCUGGGGCUGAAGUAGGUCCCAAGGGUAUGGCUGUUCGCCAUUUAAAGUGGUACGCGAGCUGGGUUUAGAACGUCGUGAGACAGUUCGGUCCCUAUCUGCCGUGGGCGCUGGAGAACUGAGGGGGGCUGCUCCUAGUACGAGAGGACCGGAGUGGACGCAUCACUGGUGUUCGGGUUGUCAUGCCAAUGGCACUGCCCGGUAGCUAAAUGCGGAAGAGAUAAGUGCUGAAAGCAUCUAAGCACGAAACUUGCCCCGAGAUGAGUUCUCCCUGAGACUUUAGGUCUCCUGAAGGAACGUUGAAGACGACGACGUUGAUAGGCCGGGUGUGUAAGCGCAGCGAUGCGUUGAGCUAACCGGUACUAAUGAACCGUGAGGCUUAACCUUACAACGCCGAAG